rnacentral:tRNA from 1 species
GCCUGGGUGGCUCAGUUGGUUGAGCAUCUGACUCUUAAUUUCACCUCAGGUCUUGAUCUCAGGGUUGUGGGAUCAAGCCCCAUGUCAGGCU